rnacentral:rRNA from 1 species
GACAAGAAAUAACAAUACAGGGCAAUUGUCUUGUAAUUGGAAUGAUGGUGACCUGUUCCCUCACCAGAGUAACAAUUGGAGGGCAAGUCUGGUGCCAGCAGCCGCGGUAAUUCCAGCUCCAAUAGCGUAUAUUAAACUUGUUGCAGUUAAAAAGCUCGUAGUUGAAUUUUUGCGUGGUGUUAAUAUUGACUGAUGUCGAGAUUGCACUUCGCUUUUGGGAUUUUUCCCUUUUUACUUUGAGAAAAUUAGAGUGUUUCAAGCAGACUUUUGUCUUGAAUACUUCAGCAUGGAAUAAUAGAGUAGGACUUUGGUUCUAUUUUGUUGGUUUGUGAACCUUAGUAAUGGUUAAUAGGAACGGCUGGGGGCAUUCAUU